CACUCAGACACGGAGGGGACAAGGGUCCACAUCGAUUGUACGGCCUGUUGACUCAUAGACGUCCGGUUUGUAAUCACGCCGC
rnacentral:snoRNA from 1 species